rnacentral:rRNA from 1 species
UGUUAGCCGAGCGGUAUUGUUUCUUCGGAAAUGAGAGAGCGGCGUACGGGUGCGGAACACGUGUGCAACCUGCCUUUAUCAGGGGGAUAGCCUUUCGAAAGGAAGAUUAACACCCCAUAAUAUAUUAAGUGGCAUCACUUGAUAUUGAAAACUCCGGUGGAUAGAGAUGGGCACGCGCAAGAUUAGAUAGUUGGUAGGGUAACGGCCUACCAAGUCUACGAUCUUUAGGGGGCCUGAGAGGGUGAUCCCCCACACUGGUACUGAGACACGGACCAGACUCCUACGGGAGGCAGCAGUGAGGAAUAUUGGACAAUGGGUGCAAGCCUGAUCCAGCCAUCCCGCGUGAAGGAUGACGGCCCUAUGGGUUGUAAACUUCUUUUGUAUAGGGAUAAACCUUUCCUCGUGAGGAAAGCUGAAGGUACUAUACGAAUAAGCACCGGCUAACUCCGUGCCAGCAGCCGCGGUAAUACGGAGGGUGCAAGCGUUAUCCGGAUUUAUUGGGUUUAAAGGGUCCGUAGGCUGAUUUGUAAGUCAGUGGUGAAAUCUCACAGCUUAACUGUGAAACUGCCAUUGAUACUGCAAGUCUUGAGUGUUGUUGAAGUAGCUGGAAUAAGUAGUGUAGCGGUGAAAUGCAUAGAUAUUACUUAGAACACCAAUUGCGAAGGCAGGUUACUAAGCAACAACUGACGCUGAUGGACGAAAGCGUGGGGAGCGAACAGGAUUAGAUACCCUGGUAGUCCACGCCGUAAACGAUGCUAACUCGUUUUUGGGAUUUCGGAAUCAGAGACUAAGCGAAAGUGAUAAGUUAGCCACCUGGGGAGUACGAACGCAAGUUUGAAACUCAAAGGAAUUGACGGGGGCCCGCACAAGCGGUGGGAUUAUGUGGUUUAAUUCGAUGAUACGCGAGGAACCUUACCAAGGCUUAAAUGGGAAUUGACAGGUUUAAAAUAGACUUUCUUCGGACAAUUUUCAGGGGGCUGCAUGG